UUUUUUUUUUUUAAACCAGCCUCUAGGAUUUUUCUAUAUUACUUUUCUUGAUCAUAUAAGUUUCAUGCUUCAGCUGUUCAUGCUUCUAUAACUGCAUCUGCAUUUCUGUCUCUAGUCCCAGGCUGAUUUCAAACAAUAUCAUCAGUGUUAGAGCAUUAGAAGGAAAAAAAAGAAAACUCCAAGUAGAUUGAGUGGCAAGAAAAGAAUGAGACAACAUCUGGGCCAUCAAAAGCCCCUACUGCUCAAACCUCCUGGUUUGCAAAUGAACUUAUAGUCCAGGAUCACUGUUUUACUCAAUGCCUGACAUGUGCUUGGAGAAUUUAGAUCACUGUUAAAUAGACUGAAGAGCAUCAAAAGAAAUUGCGGGAAGACCAGAUAGGAGGCUUUUGUGGGAAUCUAGUUUUUUACAGAAACCAGGUUAGGAAGAGACCUGAACAGUAUAUGAUACUGCAGCUAACAUCCAUGGUAAUUCAGUGGGCUGUGCGUGGCUGGGGAAGACUUCGUGAAGAUUCAGUGGGGUUGGAUCUUGAAGAAUGACUAGGACCUAGAAAACAGAAAGAAGGUUUGGAGUCUUUUCAGCCCCAUUUGCAAUCUCUUUAGCUUUUAGAGUAAUGUAGUGGGGAGAAAUAGCAAUGAUUUUCUGAUUGUAGAUGACUUCAUGAACAUCACAAAGGAAAAGAAAUUGAGUUGAAUGCCAGACUUUUGUAAUUUCCUAGGUUUGUGGAUAGAGGCAAAUUAUGUUCCUGACUGGUCGAACAGCAAAACCUUCUCUCAAGAAGUGUCAUUUGCCCAAACCCACUAGCCAAACUCAUCCAAGUCCUUGGAGAAAUGGCUCCGUCAGCCAGAGGAUGCUGGUGCCUUCAAGUCCUACCCACUGAGAGCAGGAGGGGUAGGAGGCCGCCUCCUAGAACCACUCAACAUCUUCAGUGCUUCUCACUUCUUCAGGGUCUUUAGGGCGGACACUGAGAAUCAGUUGCCAAACAUGAAGCAUGGCCUUCUGAAGACAUGUUUGAAGGUGGCUCCUCUGCCUGCUGUGGGACUGUAGGCGAAUCACUAAGUGCUCUGGAUCUUACCCCUCUUUGGUCAGACGCUGGAAUGGGUGCAGGUUCUUGAAGACCACUGCCAACUCUGGGACAGAGCUUUUAUUAGAAAAUUUGUGUUCACCAACAAGUUCCUGGAGUUCUAUAAAACCUUGUGGAUUUGAAUACAAACAAAGGUAACUGUAUCAAAGGCUUUUCAUUUCAUAUCGUGAAGUGUGUUGUUAUGCACAGUUCAUUCUAUUAAAAAACGAAACAUGUAGAACUAAAUUAAAAUGCAGAGUGUGGAUCCCUCAGGGGGGACUUCUGAAAUACUUGGCAUGAGAUGUUGCAUAGAUUUCUUGUUAACCAGAAAAUGAUUUUAGCGAGCAACCCUUCCUGAGGCCUCGGGAAGGAGCUGCGGCGUCGUGAGCCUCUGAAGCUGCAAGGUGGGUGCUCGAUAUUACACACAUUUAUCUCGGUUGCCAGAAACUCUACAUUGCCAUCUGUCUCAAGCUUCGCCAGAAGCUACCUGUGGCUUAAAGGCCAGAAAGGUCUUGACAACAAGGGGGCUUAGGGAAAUAAUGUGGAAAUAAAAUAUUUGCAAGUUUUUUGUUAACUCUCCUCUUGACACUGUGUGAGGUGUUUAGCUCUUUCUCAGGUUUCAUGCCGUGAGGAUACUUUCGUGAUGAUUUUUUAAAAAGACAGAAUCAAUUUCCUUUGGCAGAUGCAGUCAUAACACAGUGUCUAGGAAUACAGUUAUCAGCCCUUAUAUUCAAGCUAUUUGGUAGUGCUCUCGAUGGAGAAGUGAACAGCUGGGGGAAGAGGUCUCCGUGAGAGGAACUGAAAUUGUUCACUAACACUGGGCUCCUCUAUAGCCAAAGGGAAUAAGCAAACUGAAACCAUCAUCAGCAGAGUUCAGAAAAAUCCUCCAUUAGGCUACAUUUCCAGUAAUUGUCUCAAUGCAGUGGCAUUAAUACUGACAUCUGCCCCUUCUGUCUUCUGCAACUGCAUUCUAAAGAAACAGCUUUGGAAAUCAGAUUUAAAAUUGUGGCUACUCAGUGAACUGUGGACCACUAAGGCCUUAACUAGGUAUGUGAAGAGGAAAUGGAAAUUGCCCAUGUAAAUGAAAAUGUCACAGUAAGUACGUUGUGUUUUUAUUUCAGGCUUAAAAGCCAAAGCCU